rnacentral:misc_RNA from 1 species
GAUGAAGAAUGUAGCGAAAUGCGAUAAGUAGUGUGAAUUGCAGAAUUCAGUGAAUCAUCGAAUCUUUGAACGCACAUUGCGCCCGCCAGUAUUCUGGCGGGCAUGCCUGUUCGAACGUCAUUUCAACCAUCAAGCCCCAGGCUUGUGUUGGAGCCCUGCGGCUGCCGCAGCCUCCCAAAACCAGUGGCGGGCUCGCUAUCACACCGAGUGCAGUAGUUUACUCUUCGCUCAGGGCGUGUGGCGGGUGCUAGCCGUAAAACCCCCAACUUCUCAAGGUUGACCUCGGAUCAGGUAGGAAUACCCGCUGAACUUAAGCAUAUCAAUAAGCGGAGGA